rnacentral:rRNA from 1 species
UGGGGAAUAUUGCACAAUGGGGGAAACCCUGAUGCAGCAACGCCGCGUGAGUGAAGAAGUAUUUCGGUAUGUAAAGCUCUAUCAGCAGGGAAGAUAAUGACGGUACCUGACUAAGAAGCUCCGGCUAAAUACGUGCCAGCAGCCGCGGUAAUACGUAUGGAGCAAGCGUUAUCCGGAUUUACUGGGUGUAAAGGGUGCGUAGGCGGUCUGGCAAGUCAGAUGUGAAAUGCCGGGGCUCAACCCCGGAGCUGCAUUUGAAACUGCUGGACUGGAGUACAGGAGAGGCAGGCGGAAUUCCUAGUGUAGCGGUGAAAUGCGUAGAUAUUAGGAAGAACACCAGUGGCGAAGGCGGCCUGCUGGACUGUUACUGACGCUGAGGCACGAAAGCGUGGGGAGCAAACAGG